AUACGGGGGGUGCAAGCGUUAAUCGGAAUUACUGGGCGUAAAGCGCGCGUAAGCGGUUUGCUCAGUCGGAUGUGAAAGCCCAGGGCUCAACCUUGGAACUGCAUACGAUACUGGCAAACUAGAGUGUGAGAGAGGAUAGUGGAAUUUCCGGUGUAGCGGUGAAAUGCGUAGAUAUCGGAAGGAACAUCAGUGGCGAAGGCGACUGUCUGGCUCAACACUGACGCUGAGGUGCGAAAGCGUGGGUAGCAAACAGGAUUAGAUACCCUAGUAGUCC
rnacentral:rRNA from 1 species